rnacentral:rRNA from 1 species
GGCCUCUACUUGUAAGCUAUCGCUUUGCGAUGGGUCUGCGUCUGAUUAGGUUGUUGGCGGGGUAACGGCCCACCAAGCCAUCGAUCAGUAGGGGUUCUGANAGGAAGGUCCCCCACAUUGGAACUGAGACACGGUCCAAACUCCUACGGGAGGCAGCAGUGAGGAAUAUUGGUCAAUGGGCGAGAGCCUGAACCAGCCAAGUAGCGUGCAGGACGACGGCCCUAUGGGUUGUAAACUGCUUUUAUACGGGAAUAAAGUGGGCCACGCGUGGUCUUUUGCAUGUACCGUAUGAAUAAGGACCGGCUAAUUCCGUG